UACGACGUAUCAGAGUUUGAUCCUGGCCAGGACGAACGCUGGCGGCGUGCUUAACACAUGCAAGUCGAACGGAGCUAAGACUUCGGUUUUAGCUUAGUGGCGAACGGGUGAGUAACGCGUGAGGAACCUGCCUUUCAGUGGGGGACAACAGUUGGAAACGACUGCUAAUACCGCAUAAAACCGUAGUACCGCAUGGUACAUCGGUCAAAGAUUUAUUGCUGAAAGAUGGCCUCGCGUCUGAUUAGCUAGUUGGUGGGGUAACGGCCCACCAAGGCGACGAUCAGUAGCCGGACUGAGAGGUUGACCGGCCACAUUGGGACUGAGAUACGGCCCAG
rnacentral:rRNA from 1 species